rnacentral:rRNA from 1 species
AACGCUGACAGAAUGCUUAACACAUGCAAGUCUACUCGAAAGCUCUUCGGAGUGAUUAGGGUGGCGGACGGGUGAGUAACGCGUAAAGAACUUGCCCUUCAGACUGGGACAACUGUUGGAAACGACAGCUAAUACCGGAUAUUAUGAGACUAAGGCAUCUUAGACUUAUGAAAGCUAUAUGCGCUGAAGGAGAGCUUUGCGUCCUAUUAGCUAGUUGGUGAGGUAAUGGCUCACCAAGGCGACGAUAGGUAGCCGGCCUGAGAGGGUGAACGGCCACAAGGGGACUGAGACACGGCCCUUACUCCUACGGGAGGCAGCAGUGGGGAAUAUUGGACAAUGGACCAAAAGUCUGAUCCAGCAAUUCUGUGUGUUUGAUGAAGGCCUUCGGGUUGUAAAGAACUUUCAGUGGGGAAGAAGCAAGUGACGGUACCCACAGAAGAAGCGACGGCUAAAUACGUGCCAGCAGCCGCGGUAAUACGUAUGUCGCAAGCGUUAUCCGGAAUUAUUGUGCAUAAAGGGCGUCUAGGCGGUCUAAUAAGUCUGAUGUGAAAAUGCGGGGCUCAACUCCGUAUUGCGUUGGAAACUGUUAGACUAGAGUUUUGGAGAGGUAGGCGGAACUACAAGUGUAGAGGUGAAAUUCGUAGAGAUUUGUAGGAAUGCCGAUGACGAAGGUAGCUUACUGGACAAAUACUGACGCUGAAGCGCGUAAGCUAGGGGAGCAAACAGGAUUAGAUACCCUGGUAGUCCUAGCUGUAAACGAUGAUCACUGGGUGUGGAGGGGUCGAACUCUGUGCGAAGCUAAUGCGAUAAGUGAUCCGCCUGGGGGAGGUACUGUCCGCA